rnacentral:rRNA from 1 species
GACAGAGGGUGCAAACGUUGUUCGGAAUUACUGGGCGUAAAGCGAGUGUAGGCGGUUCGAUAAGUCGGAUGUGAAAGCCCCGGGCUCAACCCGGGAAGUGCACUCGAUACUGUCGAGCUAGAGUAUCGGAGAGGUUGGUGGAAUUCUCGGUGUAGAGGUGAAAUUCGUAGAUAUCGGGAGGAACACCAGUGGCGAAAGCGGCUUCCUGGUCCAGCACCGACGUUCAGGCACGAAAGCGUGGGGAGCAAACAGG